rnacentral:lncRNA from 1 species
UUCUUGCUUUACUGGGGUGCCCUUUGGCCCGGCUGUAGGGGUAGUCCCAAAAGUAGGAACACUUGGGUUAUUGUAGAGCCUGAAUUAGUUUUAAGUCAUUACAUUUACCGUUCUAUAAGAAAAACCAAACAAAGCUAUGUAUUUGUGGGUUGUUUUGUCUUUUCUCUGACAGGUGGGAAAACCAAUCAAUUAGUUCUUCAAAACACUGCAACCAAAGCAAUUAUUCAAGGUCUUAUUCCAGAUCAAAACUAUGCCCUUCAGAUCAUUGCAUUCAGUGAAGACAAGGAGAGUAAGCCAGCACAAGGCCAGUUCAGAAUUAAAGAUAUAGAGAGAAGAAAAGAAACAAGUAAAUCCAAGGUGAAGGAUCCAGAAAAAACAAAUGCGAGUAAACCAGCUCCAGAAGGAAGCCUGUUUACGUGUAAAACUCCAGCAAUUGCAGAUAUUGUGAUACUGGUGGAUGGUUCUUGGAGUAUUGGCAGGUUCAAUUUCAGACUUGUUCGACUGUUCCUGGAAAAUCUGGUUUCUGCUUUCAAUGUGGGAUCUGAGAAAACAAGAGUAGGUCUUGCACAGUACAGUGGUGAUCCCCGAAUUGAAUGGCAUUUGAAUGCCUAUGGCACAAAAGAUGCUGUUUUGGAUGCAGUCCGCAAUUUGCCAUAUAAGGGAGGGAAUACAUUAACAGGUCUUGCCUUAACUUAUAUUUUGGAAAACAGCUUUAAGCCUGAAGCAGGUGCAAGACCUGGAGUAUCUAAAAUUGGUAUACUCAUCACUGAUGGAAAGUCCCAAGAUGAUGUUAUCCCUCCUGCUAAAAACUUACGAGAUGCUGGCAUUGAGCUGUUUGCUAUUGGUGUAAAGAAUGCAGAUAUAAAUGAACUCAAAGAGAUUGCCUCUGAGCCCGACAGCACGCACGUCUACAACGUUGCUGACUUUAACUUCAUGCAUACCAUUGUUGAAGGUCUUACCAGAACAGUGUGCUCACGAGUAGAGGAACAGGAAAAGGAAAUCAAAGGAACAAUUGUUGCUUCACUUGGGGCUCCUUCGGAUUUGGUCACAUCCGAGGUAACAGCUAGAGGAUUCCGGGUUAGCUGGACACAUGCACCAGGAAAAGUUGAAAAAUACAGGGUUGUGUACUAUCCCACUCGAGGAGGACAACCAGAAGAGGUUGUGGUAGAUGGAAGCUUAUCGACAGCAGUGCUGAAAAACCUAAUGUCUUUGACUGAAUACCAGAUAGCUGUGUUUGCAAUAUACUCCAAUGCUGCUAGUGAGGGCCUCCGUGGAACUGAAACUACACUUGCCUUGCCAAUGGCGUCAGAUCUGCAAUUGUAUGAUGUGUCACAGAGCAGCAUGAGAGCAAAGUGGAAUGGAGUGGCGGGUGCCACAGGUUACAUGAUCCUAUAUGCUCCCCUCACGGAAGGACUGGCAGCAGAUGAGAAGGAGAUAAAAAUUGGGGAGGCCUCAACAGAUCUUGAACUGGAUGGACUAUUGCCAAAUACAGAAUAUACAGUCACAGUUUAUGCCAUGUUUGGAGAAGAAGCUAGUGAUCCCCUUACAGGACAAGAAACUACAUUGCCUCUAAGUCCACCAGCAAACUUGAAAUUUUCUGAUGUUGGACACAGUAGUGCUAAGCUAACGUGGGAUCCUGCUUCCAAAAAUGUAAAUGGCUAUCGCAUCAUGUACGUUAAAACAGAUGGAACAGAAACCAAUGAGGUGGAAGUUGGUCGUGUUUCAACCCAUACUCUAAAAAGCCUGACAUCCCUUACAGAGUACACUGUUGCUAUUUUCUCCCUGUAUGAUGAAGGACAAUCUGAACCACUUACUGGCAGCUUUACCACAAGUAAAGUUCCAGCUCCCCAGCAUUUGGAAAUUGAUGAAGCAUCAACAGAUAGUUUUAGGGUCAGCUGGAAGCCCACCUCCUCAGAUAUUGCUUUUUACAGAUUGGCAUGGAUUCCUUUGGACGGGGGGGAUUCUGAAGAGGUUGUCAUAAAUGGAGAUGCAGACAGUCACGUUAUUGAGGGUUUGUUGCCCAACACAGAAUAUGAAGUUUCUUUGCUGGCAGUUUUUGACGAUGAAACGGAAAGUGAAGCUGUUGCUGUUCUUGGAGCUACAUUUGCAGAGACAACCAUGCUACCGACCACUGUGUCUACUACCAGUACCACAACUUCUAAGCCCACCACAGCAGUUUUUCGAACAGGAAUCAGAAACCUUGUUAUAGACGAUGAAACAACCUCAAGCCUGAGGGUGAUGUGGGACAUUUCAGAUUACAGUGUUCAGCAGUUCAGAGUGACCUAUCUCACUGCGAAAGGAGACCGUGCUGAGGAAGCGGUAAUGGUGCCGGGGAGACAAAAUACUUUUCUGCUUCAGCCUCUGAUGUCUGACACAGAAUACAAAGUUACCAUCACUCCCAUCUACUCUGAUGGGGAAGGAGUCAGUGUCUCAGCUCCUGGCAAAACUUUACCCCUGUCUGCUCCUAGGAAUUUACGUGUGUCAGAUGAAUGGUACAACAGAUUACGCAUCAGUUGGGAUGCCCCGCCAUCACCCACAAUGGGUUACAGAAUUGUCUACAAACCUAUCAACAUUCCUGGUCCUGCAUUGGAGACCUUUGUAGGGGAUGAUAUUAAUACCAUUCUUGUUCUAAAUCUCUUCAGUGGAACGGAGUACAGUGUUAAAGUAUUUGCUUCAUACUCAACAGGCUUCAGUGAUGCCCUAACAGGCGUAGCCAAAACCUUGUACCUGGGUGUGACAAAUUUGGAUUCCUAUCAAGUCCGCAUGACUAGCCUCUGCGCUCAGUGGCAGCUUCACAGACAUGCCACUGCGUACAGGGUUGUUAUAGAGUCGCUUGUGGAUGGGAAGAAGCGAGAGGUAAAUCUUGGUGGAGGGACGCCUAGACAUUGUUUCUUUGAGCUGAUGCCUGGAACUGAAUAUAAAAUCAGUGUUCAUGCACAGCUUCAGGAGAUAGAGGGCCCUGCUGUAAGCAUCAUGGAGACAACAUUACCAUUUCCAACUCAACCACCAACAACACCUUCAACACCACCUCCACCACCUACAAUCCCUCCUGCGAAAGAGGUGUGCAAAGCAGCCAAAGCUGACCUAGCGUUCCUGGUGGAUGGGUCAUGGAGUAUUGGAGAUGACAAUUUCAAUAAAAUAAUCAGCUUUCUCUACAGCACUGUUGGAGCUUUGGAUAAGAUUGGUCCUGAUGGAACGCAGGUGGCGAUAAUUCAGUUCAGUGAUGAUCCCAGGACAGAAUUUAAAUUGAAUGCAUAUAAAACAAAAGAGACUCUUCUUGAAGCUAUUCAGCAAAUAGCCUACAAAGGAGGGAAUACAAAAACAGGCAAAGCCAUUAAACAUGCAAGAGAAGUCUUGUUUACGGGAGAGGCGGGCAUGAGGAGGGGCAUUCCGAAGGUUUUGGUUGUCAUUACUGAUGGGCGAUCACAGGACGAUGUGAACAAAGUCUCCAGAGAAAUGCAACUGGAUGGUUUCAGCUUUUUUGCUAUUGGAGUAGCUGAUGCUGACUAUUCGGAGUUAGUUAAUAUUGGCAGCAAACCCAGUGAAAGACAUGUCUUCUUUGUGGAUGACUUUGACGCCUUCACAAAGAUUGAAGAUGAGCUGAUCACUUUUGUUUGUGAAACUGCAUCAGCAACCUGCCCAUUGGUAGUUAAAGAUGGCAACAAUUUUGCAGGAUUUAAAAUGAUGGAAAUGUUUGGUUUGGUUGAAAAGGAGUUUUCAGCUGUGGAAGGGGUUUCAAUGGAACCCGGUACAUUUAAUGUUUACCCAUGCUACAGACUGCACAAGGAUGCCCUGGUAUCCCAGCCUACCAAGUAUUUGCAUCCUGAAGGUCUUCCUUCUGAUUACACCAUUACGUUUCUCUUUCGUAUCCUCCCCGACACACCUCAAGAGCCAUUUGCUCUUUGGGAGAUUUUAAAUGAAGCAUAUGAACCACUGGUUGGAGUUAUUUUAGAUAAUGGUGGCAAAACUCUGACUUUCUUUAACUACGACUACAAAGGAGAUUUUCAAACUGUCACGUUUGAAGGUCCUGAAAUAAGGAAGAUAUUUUAUGGGAGCUUUCAUAAGUUGCAUGUUGUUAUCAGCAAGACUACGGCUAAAAUAAUUAUUGACUGCAAGCAAGUGAGUGAGAAGACCAUUAAUGCAGCAGGGAAUAUCAGUUCUGAUGGCAUAGAAGUGCUGGGGAGGAUGGUCAGAUCCAGAGGACCAAGAGAUAACUCUGCACCACUGCAGUUACAGAUGUUUGACAUUGUUUGUGCUACCUCAUGGGCCAAUCGGGACAAAUGCUGUGAGCUUCCUGGCUUGAGAGAUGAAGAAAACUGUCCUGCCCUUCCUCAUGCUUGUUCCUGCUCAGAAGCUAAUAAGGGUCCCCUUGGACCUCCUGGUCCACCGGGACCAGAUGGACCUCGAGGUGAAAUUGGUGUUCCCGGACCACAAGGACCUCCAGGACCACAAGGACCCAGUGGACUUUCUAUUCAAGGGCUUCCAGUGAGACUUACAAAAUCAAUAGGCAUACCUGGUGCUCCAGGUGUUCCUGGUGUUACUGGAAGCCAGGGGCCACAAGGUGAUGUUGGAGCUCCUGGUCCUCCUGGAGCUAAGGGUGAAAGGGGUGAGCGGGGUGAUCUCCAGUCCCAAGCAAUGGUGCGUGCUGUUGCUCGGCAAGUGUGUGAGCAACUCAUCCAGGGUCAUAUGGCAAGAUAUAACUCAAUUCUGAACCAGAUUCCAAGCCAGUCUGUCUCAACCCGAACCAUCGCAGGACCCCCUGGUGAGCCAGGUCGGCCAGGGGCUCCAGGGCCACAAGGAGAACAAGGUUCCCCAGGCAUGCAAGGGUUUCCAGGAAGUCCCGGUCAACCAGGAAGACCAGGAGAAAGAGGUUUACCAGGCGAGAAGGGAGAAAAAGGCAAUCCAGGAGUUGGAACACAAGGACCCCGAGGCCCACCAGGAUCUACAGGACCUCCAGGAGAAAGUCGAACUGGCAGCCCGGGACCACCAGGUUCUCCAGGCCCACGAGGUCCCCCCGGCCACACGGGGCCCCCGGGUUCCCAGGGUCCUUCAGGCCCGCCGGGGUACUGCGACCCGUCCUCCUGCGCUGGCUACGGCAUGGGAGGUGGAUACGGUGAACCAACCGAUCAAGACAUCCCCGUAGUGCAGUUGCCACAUAACUCCUACCAAAUCUAUGACCCCGAGGACCUUUACGAUGGUGAGCAGCAGCCCUACGUGGUUCACGGGUCCUACCCCCUCCCGCCCCCGUACUCCCAGCCCUCCUAUCCAUCACCUCAUCUCGCUCAACCAGAGUUCACUCCCGUUCGAGAAGAGCUGGAAGCCGUUGAACUGAGGUCCCCAGGAAUCAGUCGCUUCCCAAGGAAGGUAGCCAAAAGGAGCGUCAAGACUCCAGGACGCAAAAGGGCGAAUGGAAAAAAACCCUCUCAAUGA